rnacentral:rRNA from 1 species
ACGUAGGGGGCGAGCGUUGUCCGGAAUUACUGGGCGUAAAGGGAGCGUAGGCGGUUUAUUAAGUUAGAUGUGAAAUACCCGUGCUUAACAUGGGGGGUGCAUCUAAUACUGGUAGACUUGAGUGCAGGAGAGGAAAGUGGAAUUCCUAGUGUAGCGGUGAAAUGCGUAGAUAUUAGGAGGAACACCAGUGGCGAAGGCGACUUUCUGGGCUGUAACUGACGCUGAGGCUCGAAAGCGUGGGGAGCAAACAG